AUACGAACCGGACAAACGUUAUUCGGAAUUAUUGGGCUUAAAGGGUGCGUAGGCGGCUUGGUAGGUGGGGUGUGAAAUCCCUCGGCUCAACCGAGGAAUUGCGCUCAAAACCGCUAGGCUUGAGUGAGAUAGGGGAAAGCGGAACUGAUGGUGGAGCGGUGAAAUGCGUUGAUAUCAUCAGGAACACCGGUGGCGAAGGCGGCUUUCUGGGUCUUUACUGACGCUGAGGCACGAAAGCUAGGGGAGCGAACGGGAUUAGAUACCCCGGUAGUCC
rnacentral:rRNA from 1 species